rnacentral:lncRNA from 12 species
CCCUUACUAAAAGACUAUUAAGUGAAAGAAUGGUUCUAUUUUCUCCAUUAGGUAGACAGUGAACUCAGUACAAUUUGAAGAGGGGCACUUGAUAUGCUGGGUAUGGCACAAAGACCGGGGGGCUGGUUUUAAUCUCUGCCCUUGCUUUGUCUUCCAGAAUAACUGCAGUCGAAGGAUAAAUGCUCCAUGUCCUCUCUGCCAGUCGGUGUUUAUCAGAGGACAUUGGAAGAAGAGGGACAAAGGUGCCUGGAUGUUUAUCUGUGAGUGCAAGUCUAUGAUUCUCUGAAGCAAAGGUGCCAGUGAAGUUGCCUCAUAAACAAGCAGACCUUCCAGAAUCUUCCAUCGGAGAAUUAUCACCUGCAAAGACCUCUGAGAGCCACCAGCAACACACAGAAACGAGAGGAACCCCGGAAGAUGUUUGGAGAGGCCCACAAUGUGGGUGCAAAUUUCUUGGGGGACAGGGGACCGCUUCUGCUUUUGCUGCAAAGGACAGAAGCACGAGCCACUGUGCCAGCAGACGGUUAUCUCCAAGACUUGGCGUCUGGGGUGGAGGAGCCAUCUGAAUGUGCGGGGCGGGUGCUGCCUGCAUUCAGCAAUCACUCUGAAGGAAUACCAUUUUACACUGGGAUGCUUUCCAGGAGGAUUCCUGUGAACCUGACUCAGAAGAACAACAGUCUGUGCAUGAACCUGUUGUCCUCGAGAAUUUGA